UUAACACAUAUUAGGUCAUAUGAAUAAAACCGAGUACUUGCUCAUGCUCAACCCGAUUUGAACGAAGUAAAGUCUCUGAGCAUUUACUCAAAACGGUAUGAAUAAAACGAUACUUUGCUCAGAGUAAGUUCGAAUUUCGAACUUAGCAUUUACUCUAUCAAAAAUGUUGUUUUGUUUUGACCCGCGAGGAAAAAGAAUCCUUGCGGUGGAACAAUUUAGUGCCUUUGUGGAUCUUUUCCGUCUUUUUUGUUGUUGCCGGCUGCUGGAGUCAUACACAAAAACGGGAAAACACAACCGGGGAGAAUUUAUAGCCAUCCUGUGCCACCUGUGGGGGUACAAACGGUAUACCAAAUGCUGCAGUGUGACGAUAACUGAUUCGUCCGCGCAUCGAUCCUACCUUGCUCCGCAUAAGCCACCGAUGAAUGUAAUCGGUCCGUACGCAACUCUCCCAUCGAUGGGUAGAGAGCCAACAGGUGUCACAAGUUUAAUAAGCAACACGAGUCCCAGCGGCGCAGCAACAUCAAAAAACGAAAGGGAAACCUCAGUAUUGAUAGCAGUUGUUUGACCAGUAGUGAAGAAGGAUCCAUGGGACAAAGCAAUGGGCCCGUAUUCAACGUUGAAAUGCCGUAGAGUCCUGAUUGAAAUAAUAAACCAAAUAUGCUGCAAAACUUGA